AGCUAAUAGAUACCCGGGUAGUCCACGCCCUAAACGAUGUCUACUAGUUGUUGGUGGAGUAAAAUCCAUGAGUAAACGCAGCUAAACGCGUGAAGUAGACCGCCUGGGGAGUACGGUCGCAAGAUUAAAAACUCAAAGGAAUUGACGGGGGCCCGCACAAGCGGUGGAUUAUGUGGAUUAAAUUCGAUGCAACGCGAAAAACCCUUACCUGGCCUUGACAUGCCACUAACGAAGCAGAGAUGCAUUAGGUGCCCGUAAGGGAAAGUGGACACAGGUGCUGCAUGGCUGUCGUCAGCUCGUGUCGUGAGAUGUUGGGUUAAGUCCCGCAACGAGCGCAACCCUUGCCAUUAAUUGCCAUCAUUUAGUUGGGCACUUUAAUGGGACUGCCGGUGACAAACCGGAGGAAGGUGGGGAUGACGUCAAGUCCUCAUGGCCCUUAUGGCCAGGGCUUCACACGUAAUACAAUGGUCGGUACAGAGAGUUGCCAACCCGCGAGGGGUAGCUAAUCUCAGAAAGCCGAUCGUAGUCCGGAUUGUUCU
rnacentral:rRNA from 1 species